GUGGGGAAUCUUGCGCAAUGGGCGAAAGCCUGACGCAGCCAUGCCGCGUGAAUGAUGAAGGUCUUAGGAUUGUAAAAUUCUUUCACCGGGGACGAUAAUGACGGUACCCGGAGAAGAAGCUCCGGCUAACUUCGUGCCAGCAGCCGCGGUAAUACGAAGGGGGCUAGCGUUGCUCGGAAUUACUGGGCGUAAAGGGCGCGUAGGCGGACAGCUUAGUCAGAGGUGAAAGCCCAGGGGUCAACCUUGGAAAUGCAUUUGAUACUGGAGGUCUUGAGUUUGAGCGAGGUGAGUGGAACUCCGAGUGUAGAGGUGAAAUUCGUAGAUAUUCGGAAGAACACCAGUGGCGAAGGCGACUCACUGGCCCAAUACUGACGCUGAGGCGCGAAAGCGUGGGGAGCAAACAGGAUUAGAUACCCGAGUAGUCC
rnacentral:rRNA from 1 species